CAGAGCCGCGGUAACACGGAGGGUGCAAGCGUUAAUCGGAAUUACUGGGCGUAAAGCGCACGCAGGCGGUCUGACAAGUCAGAUGUGAAAUCCCCGGGCUUAACCUGGGAACUGCAUUUGAAACUGUCAGGCUGGAGUCUUGUAGAGGGGGGUGGAAUUCCAGGUGUAGCGGUGAAAUGCGUAGAGAUCUGGAGGAAUACCGGUGGCGAAGGCGGCCCCCUGGACAAAGACUGACGCUCAGGUGCGAAAGCGUGGGGAGCAAACAGGAUUAGAUACCCGGGUAGUCCCUGUCUCUUAUACA
rnacentral:rRNA from 1 species